UUUUUUCUUAAGCUAAUCAGGUACGUUUGCAGGUGAAUCCAGUGGAAGUCGUCAAGUGGAUAAGGGUUAUCACAGGUGAGUAUCACAGAUAGUUGAUCAGUCGGCUGUCAGCGUCGUUAAUAGGAAAUUUUUUGAUCAAAAACAUGGAAUGCUGUAUUACGGACGAGCAACUCAUGAGGCAAUUUGAGGGGUUCGUCGUCUGAUGCAGCAAAUAUUUUGGACAUCUAUUGGAGCACCGUGGAUACGGCAUGUUGUCAGGAAAUUGGGCGUCGUCGCAAGGGAGCAUCAGGUCAUCUCGUCGUCAAGGUGAGGGAUCCUCUUUCAUUUUGGAGAAACAUGCUUGCAAUAGCUGGAGAAGGAUGCUGGCUGGUUUAUCAAGCUUGGUCAUGUGACGAGAAGGAUGUUUGGUCGAAUAUCGGGAGGCGUUGUUUGCGGUGGGAGUGGCGUGUAAAGCAGCGCUCUCAAUGUUUUUAUGUAAAAUGCCAACGCAGUCAUCAAUAUCCUCCCCACUGUUUAUUUCAGUGUUUAAGGGGGGGUUAGGGUUUUAAAAAUUUUUUUUUUCGAUUUUUUUUUUUUUAUUUUCUUAUUAAAGAACCUUUCAAGAAUACUGUGUCCAAAUUUUAGAUGCAUAGGUGCAUUAUUAACAAAGAUACAGCGAUUGUAGCAACCCCACCUCCGAGCCAGGCCAACGGUCAGAAAAACUUCGAAGCGUUUUUCCCAAAACUCACUUUUUCAAAGUCGGUGCCCAUCAUAACUUCAAAACUACUGAAUCGAUCGUUUUAAAAUUUUUACCACUUCUUGCCAACAUAAUUGACGAGGUAUCCCUGGAGAGUUUUUUUCCAAAUUUGUUUAAAUUUCUAUUUUUUAAAUAACAAAUUAGCCGAUUUUUUUCCUCAAAAAUCACGUUUUUCACUUCAAAGUGUUCCCAGCGUUACUUGGGAAAAAUGUCUAUCUAACGAAAGAACUUUGUUAUUUUGAUUUCGAAAGAUCUACAACCGAUAUAUGCGGGGAACUUUUUUUCGAGGAGUCUGCUAAUAAUGGUCGCCAUUGCCGUAGUUCUUAUUAUUUUUUUCUGAAAAUUUUACAAAACAUUCUUCAAAUGUUGUACUUUAAUCUAAAAAUAGUUUAAAUAAAUAGAUGUUUACCAGAUCCUCAAAAAAAAAAACAUGAAAAUGUGUCUUUUUUUGCUCGCUCAGACCCUAACCCCCCCUUAAAAGAAUGUAUUUUUCCAGAUGGUCCCUGAAGGCUUUGAUUCUGUGAGAUCCUCGUGGGAGGGGAGGAGGUCUUGGCGCAGCCUGUUCGACAUCUGGACUGAUUAAAGGAGUUUUGCCCAGUGCCGCAUUGAUGAUGAGUGGGACAUGGUCAGAGGACAAUUCGGAUACCGAUGAGAUGGAGAUGUGGGUAGGGAGGAAACCCGAAUACACGGCAAAAUCUAUUGCCGAGGGAUUUGCCUUUUUGUUAAAGGGAUAACAAGUGGCCUCUCCUGUAGCAACUACGAGCGUUUCCCCACAUCUGGUUUUUCGCAUUCCAGUCCCCCGCAAUGAUGAACCUCAGUGAUUGUGGAUUACAUAGUUGGUCGAUCCCUUUGAGGAGGCGAGGAAAAUCGUCGUUUACCCAUUUCACAGAUGGUGGGCAAUAGAUGGAGGCAAGUAUGACAUUUUGUACGUCAAUAGGGCAGAUUUGUACCGCUUCUUCAUUUCUCGGUACAAGGACCGAAUGGGCAAGGUCGCUACGAAUUAUUGUCGCAGCACCCCCUCUGCGCUGCGACACCGGAUUUAGGGCAGUGUAAGCCUUGUAUCCAGGGAUAUCAAUGGUUCAUGUCCUAAUUUCGCUGACGAGCAGGACGUCAACAUCACGUCCACUUAAGAACGCUGAGAGCUCGUCAAUUUUGUUUUGGAUGCCCCCAGCGUUCCAGUAGACAAUCUUUAAAGUCUUAGGAGCUUUAAACAUAGAGGCAAUCAUUGACGUCAAGGGUAUUUUCUAGAAUCGAGGCCAUUUCGAUUGUCUGAAUGGAGCAGGAUAAGUUGGCUAGAGAGUUAUUGUUCGGUGAGGCCUCAGUUAUGUCAAACAUAUUAGUGAUUUUAAUAAACAGAGUUGACAAUUUAU